UACGGGGGGGGGUAAGCGUUGUUCGGAAUUACUGGGCGUAAAGGGCUCGUAGGCGGCCAACUAAGUCAGACGUGAAAUCCCUCAGCUUAACUGGGGAACUGCGUCUGAUACUGGAUGGCUUGGAUUCGGGAGAGGAAUGCGGAAUUCCAGGUGUAGCGGUGAAAUGCGUAGAUAUCUGGAGGAACACCGGUGGCGAAGGCGGCAUCCUGGACCAACACUGACGCUGAGUGAGCGAAAGCCAGGGGAGCAAACGGG
rnacentral:rRNA from 1 species